GAGCUUGAAUCUUUGUCUUUCAAAUUCUGUUGUAUUUUUGUUUGUUUCAGUAUGAUUCUGUUCUUCAUUUUCAAAUACUUCACUCGUAACCCUUAUCUUAACUGGCUCCCUGUCCUUGUCAAGGUGGUGAACUCCCAACAAUCUCUGCUCAAUUUCACUGGGAGCCCUGGUCAAUUUUGCGUGUUUUUCUUUAUUUUGCAUUUGAAUGCAAGAUUUACGCAUAAAAACAAAAUGUGUAAGAUGAAAUAAGGAAAAAUUGAAAGAAGAAAUAAAAGAAUUAUGUUAAAAUAGAAGGUAUUUUUAACAGUAAAGGAAGGAAGCUU
rnacentral:lncRNA from 1 species